rnacentral:rRNA from 1 species
UACGAAGGGGGGCUAGCGUUGCUCGGAAUCACUGGGCGUAAAGCGCGCGUAGGCGGCUUUCUAAGUCAGGGGUGAAAUCCUGGAGCUCAACUCCAGAACUGCCUUUGAUACUGGAGAGCUUGAGUCCGGAAGAGGUGAGUGGAACUCCGAGUGUAGAGGUGAAAUUCGUAGAUAUUCGGAAGAACACCAGUGGCGAAGGCGGCUCACUGGUCCGGUACUGACGCUGAUGUGCGAAAGCGUGGGGAGCAAACAGG